rnacentral:tRNA from 1 species
AUCACCUCCUUUCUAAGGAUGGUUCUUCAGAAGCUUGCUUCUAUCGAACCGUUUUAGAAACAUCAGUGGCCAACGAUCGUCAGGAUUGUUGAGCUGCAUUGGCGGGAUUUCGCCGUCUUCGUUUCUCUUUCUUCGCGGACGAACACGCGCUGGGCCUGCGAGAGCAGGGUCCCUGGUCCUUGACGGGAUAUGCGUUAGGGGCUUGUAGCUCAGUUGGUUAGAGCGCGCGCUUGAUAAGCGUGAGGUCGGAAGUUCAAGUCUUCGCAGGCCCACCACACUCAUCGGGUAAGCAUUCGUCAUCUGGUUACGGGCCCAUAGCUCAGCUGGGAGAGCGCGUGCUUUGCAAGCAUGAGGUCGUCGGUUCGAUCCCGUCUGGCUCCACCAGAUGGUUUGAUCACCGAGGCUGUGUUUGCAGGUAUUCAACCGUCGUCCGCGAAACAUCACUUCGCACCUGCUAGUCUGGAUAGACAGUGAGGUUGCGUGAUUUCUGACAUCGUAAAGAGGAGAUCGAUCCGAGUUGGAUCGGGCAGCAAGCAAUUGCUGCGCGAACCUUCAUUAUCUCCGGAUCAUUUCGGCGCUCGCGCGCCUUUCAAUGCGGCUCACAAGGCUGCGUCUGAAGGGAAUGCGGGUUGUAAAUGAUCCUUUUAGCGAAGCUUGACCGCCUCGCUAUCGGAACGAUCUUACGAAGCAAGCUGGUCAUUCUAAUCAUUGUCCGGCUGUACGUAGCGUUCAUCGAGGGCGCGUGCCGUAAGGCAAUCGUACAGACACAUUCUGCCGAGUGUGUGGACAUUGAUAAUGAGAGCAAUCAAGUGCCUUAAGGGUGUUCGGUGGAUGCCUUGGCGCUGAGAG